rnacentral:lncRNA from 1 species
UGUGAUCUUAUAAUUUAAAAAAGGGAUAAUUGCCUAUAUACUCUUCAUACGUUUGAAAAUAUCCAAUUUACCCCUACUUUUUUUUCCUUUCUAAAAUAUCACUCAUAUGUUCCACCGCUAUUGCAAAAUAUCUCCGCAGUUAUCUCCUUUUAAGUUAACUUAGGUUAAACGUGAGUUAAACAUUUACCACAGUUAAAAAAAAUUAAAAUGCUAAUUUUGCCCUUAACUUAAGGGCAAAUAAGAAAUAUUGGUGACGGUAGAGGGAUAUAUUGAAAAAAACCAAAAGUCAAAAUACUUUUUGUGCCAUUGACUUUAAGGGCAAGUAAGAAAGUCAGUGAUGGUAGAAGGGUAUAUUUGAAAGGGCAAAAUAAUAAUUUUACAGAGAUAACAGAGUUCAUUAGCAGAUUUUAACUCUAGGGAUAUAUUAGAAAUAUAGGUUGGAACGUAGAAAGGGUAUUUUCAAUAUUAACCUUCUAAGAUGGGUAAAUCGAAAAAUCGAAAACUUUUCAGGAGUAUAUAAGCAAUUGCCCCAAAAUUAUAUGUAACUACUUUGUGCAAGGUUUAGCAUAUUUUUAUUUUGUCACUAUGUGAUUUAAAAGUUGUACUUAACUAUAUUGUGGUUAUUAAAAAUUUUACUUCGUUAUUUAUUCGAUUUAUUUGAUAUUAAAUUUUUUUUGAUCAAAAUAGAGAAAAAAAUAUAGAAUAAUUAAAUGUAACUUUUUUGAUGACAAAGUGAAAAUAAGCUAAACCAUGCGGGGGCAAAUUGAAGUCUAUGCUUAAUUUUUUAUAACAGUUAAAU